rnacentral:rRNA from 1 species
UCCGAGUGAACCUGCGGAAGGUCAUUA